rnacentral:rRNA from 1 species
UACGUAGGGUCCGAGCGUUGUCCGGAAUUACUGGGCGUAAAGAGCUCGUAGGUGGUUUGUCGCGUUGUCCGUGAAAACUCACAGCUCAACUGUGGGCGUGCGGGCGAUACGGGCAGACUGGAGUACUGCAGGGGGAGACUGGAAUUCCUGGUGUAGCGGUGGAAUGCGCAGAUAUCAGGAGGAACACCGGUGGCGAAGGCGGGUCUCUGGGCAGUAACUGACGCUGAGGAGCGAAAGCGUGGGGAGCGAACAGG